GAGUUUGAUCAUGGCUCAGGACGAACGCUGGCGGUGCGCCUUAUGCAUGCAAGUUGAGCGAAGCUUUUUGGUAGUUUACUACUAGAAAUGACUGAGCGGCGAACGGGUGAGUAACGCGUGAGCAAUCUACCUUAGUUACUGGGAUAGCCCGAGGAAACUCGGAUUAAUACCGGAUAUUCUUAUUUUUUCACAUGAAGUUUUAAGGAAAGGUCAGCCGAACUAAGAUGAGCUCGCGUUCUAUCAGCUAGUUGGUGGGGUAAAAGCCUACCAAGGCUACGACGGAUAGCUGGUCUGAGAGGACGAUCAGCCACACUGGGACUGAGACACGGCCCAGACUCCUACGGGAGGCUGCAGCAGGGAAUAUUGUGCAAUGAGCGAAAGCUUGACACAGCGACACCGCGUGUGGGAUGACGGUUCUAGGAUUGUAAACCACUUUCAGGAGGGAAGAAAAUGACGGUACCUCCACAAGAAGACCCGGCCAACUAUGUGCCAGCAGCCGCGGUAAUACAUAGGGGUCAAGCGUUGUCCGGAUUUAUUGGGCGUAAAGAGCUCGUAGGCGGUUCAACAAGUCGGUCGUAAAAGUUUAGGGCUCAACCCUAAAAUGUCGAUCGAUACUGUUGUGACUAGGAUACGGUAGAGGUGAAUGGAAUUCCGAGUGUAGCGGUGAAAUGCGUAGAUAUUCGGAGGAACACCAAUUGCGAAGGCAGUUCACUGGACCGUGAUCGACGCUGAGGAGCGAAAGCUAGGGGAGCAAACAGGAUUAGAUACCCUGGUAGUCCUAGCUGUAAACGAUGGAUACUAGAUGCAGGAACUGGAUUGACGGUUUCUGUAUCGUAGCUAACGCGUUAAGUAUCCCGCCUGGGGAGUACGGUCGCAAGACUAAAACUCAAAGGAAUUGACGGGACCCCGCACAAGCGGCGGAGCAUGCGGCUUAAUUCGAUGAUACCCGUAGAACCUUUACCUGGNCUUGAC
rnacentral:rRNA from 1 species